rnacentral:rRNA from 1 species
AAUGAACGCUGGCGGCAUGCCUAACACAUGCAAGUCGAACGAAACCAUCGGGUCUAGUCGCGCACGGGGGCGUAGCGCGUGGGAACAUGCCCUUAGGUUUGGCAUAACUCUCCGAAAGGGGUGCUAAUACGGGAUAAUGUCUUCGGACCAAAGAUUUAUCGCCUUUGGAGGGGCUCACGUUGGAUUAGCUAGUUGGUGGGGUAAAAGACUACCAAGGCGACGAUCCGUAACUGGUCAGAGAGGAGGAUCAGCCACACUGGGACGGAGACACGGCCCAGACUCCUACGGUAGGCAGCAGUGGGGAAUCUUACACGAUGGGCGAAAGCCUGAUCCAGCCCUGCCGCGUGAGUGAUGAAGGUCUUCUGAUGGUAAAGCACUUUAAGUCUGGAGGAAGGACAGUAAGUUUAUCCCGGACUGUUUUGACGUUACCAACAGAAUAAGCUCCGGCUAACUCCGUG